GACUCCCUGUGCACAAACCUGUGGUGCCCACUCCACCUCUCUAGGCUCCUCUGCAUGACAUCCAGCAGCUGCACACAGUUCAAGUUUACUUCAUUUUACAGCAUGGCUUCACAUGAUGUUACAUCAACUGCACAAAUGACAAAAUCUGGAAAAUUUAAAGCAGGUUAUUUUGCAUCUAGACUGGCGUCUUCAUGAGGAAUUGCUGAACUGGCUUCAGAUAUGGUCUUGAUGUCAUGAAGACUUUUCUUUCUACUAUCAACCAAAAAAAAUCUGGACUGCAAAAUUAAGGCCAGACAUCUAAAAGGGCUGGACGGUCAGAGCUGCUGCUUGCUGAAGGGAAUUCGCUGCUGCCACCGGAGCCCAGCCCGGAGCUGCUUCUUCUGCCGUGAGAUGCAUGUCAUGAUGUAUAUGAGAAGAAGUUAAGAUGGAACAAGGAGGAAAAAACAAGUAUUUGGGGGAGAAAACUGUAAGUUUCCUGAUCUUGCCACCUUUUUCACUCAAUGAAAUAUUAUGGAGUCAAAUCUAUAUUGUGCGGUAAUUACAACACUUGAUAUAGCUGUUAGGAAUAAUGAAUCAUGACAAAGAUGCAUCAGGCAGUCGAUGGAAAGAGUGAAUAACAAACAACCUUGUGCCAACCUGUGCCCAUGAAUUAUGGCUGCUGUGUUUCAGGAGAACAGUGUUUGGAACACUACCUGCAAGUGCUCUCAGAGGCCACUUGAAGAAGGAAGAAAAGAUUGGGCCAAAGUUUUUUAUGGAGAUUUUUAUUUUCUCAUGAUCAAUCAUCCAGCUGAGGCAAUGCAUGGUACAGAGGUGGAAGCUGCUUCUCUGUGGUCGCUUAAAAUAUUUGGAGGGAGUUUUGUGGAAAAGUGAGAAGAUGAUGCACGCACAUUUUCUCAAAGAGAAUGCUGAGUGAUGUUUCCAUCUGCCAGGACUUGAUCCAACAGACUGCUGGCAGCCGAAGUUCCUCUAAACAUACUUCCUUUCCCUGCAGAUGCCUACCUAGAUUCCUACUUAUAAUGGUAGAUAUAUCUGUCAAGCUUGGGUUCUGUUUUCCAGGACUCCUUUUUGUCCCUUGUCACAGCAGGGAGAAGCUCCAUCUUCCCAGUUGUGCAACAAGAAUGGGGUAAGGUAAGGUAAAAUUGCUGAGAACUGACCAGGAAAUUACUGGUUUAUUCUAUGUUUAGUGAUUUAGUAUUUAACAAUAUCUUUAAAACUUCAACUAGAGCUGAAAAAUAGAAUUUUCAUGUCAGUAAAGGAUUACACUGAUUUAGCUGAGUCUGAUUUAUGUGACAAGCACAAAAGUUAAAGAUGUCAUCAUUGCAGUUUUUGUCACCCCAUGAGAAACAGCCUUCUUUUCUCCAUUACUGCAAAGAAUCAAGGGGUUAUUUGGCUCUCCAGAAUACUAUAAUACAAAAUAUAACAGUAGACUCUGAUCAUGUGUAUUCAACCCAUGUAUUCAGAGGAAUCAUAUUGUACAAACCUUAAUUGGUAGUCUUAAUUAUCUAGUUUGCAUCAGUCUAAUUUAUGUAACAAACCCAAGCUGCUCCAUAAUUCCCUGCUAGAAUGGGAUAUAAUAACUCCAUCAAACCCAACAGACCUACGUCAGCAUGUGCCAGUAAGGAAUUUAGCUUUAAUAUUCCAAGGAGCAAUAUGGCACAUGAUUCACUUUGGUUCACAUUUUUCCCAAGGUCUUCUGUAAAAUAAAUUUAUUUUUAGUUCAGAAGAGAAAUGUUUGUACAGACAGAAUUGCAUGUUUGUACAGACAUUCCUAGAGAUCCAAAAAGUAUCUUCUUGUCUUCAAAAAGUAAAAUACAAACCAAACAUCCUCAAGAGAGAAAACAAAAGAGCAAUUGCUGUGCUUUAUCCAGCAUCAUAUUGGAUACUUUUGUGUUGAUGCAGCUGUUCCAGUGUCUUCAGCUUCUGGUGAUGGACCAGAAGGAAGCAGAAAUCAAUGGGCAGAUUUUGAUUAUUCUACAGUCUCAUUUUAGUAUAUGGAAUGGAAUAAAAUAAUUUCAAAGACAAAAAAUUCAGACAAGCUGGUUAAGACAGAUUUUUAUAUAAGACUUUUAACACUCUGAAGUUGCUCAGUUUUGUGUUAAAUUGAAGAGGCUCCUUGGGAGAUUUUGUACAAAAUUUUCAUUGAUCCAGUGAAUUGAGGAUCCACAGAACAAACAGGAAACAUUAAAGAUUUGGAUUAUAUUGCUUGUCACAUUUUUUUGAGGAGGUUUUGGAAUUUCUGUCAAAGAUUAUGAGCUAUAGAUUAGUUCACACAAGAUAUUCCUGAAACUGCUGUGUCAGAUCCUCAGAAAAUGUUCAAGACCAUGAUAUUUUUAAAGUAAUUAUUAUUGAUGCAGCUAAUGAUCCUGAAAUGAAAAAGCAUCAAUGGUGAAAGCCAAGUUUGCAAGAGAAAUAUCCAUAUAAUUCCAAGAUCAAACAAAAACAUUUUACAAAAUAUAUGCAUGGUUUUCUCCCUCUAGCUCCAUGUGAAAGUUCAAUUCUAAUUUUGUUUUGUUUUUACUUUUAAACUUCAUUCUUUAAAAAUAAGGUGGUUUUAGUAAAUAAACUUCAUGGGGAAAGAAACUUGUAGAUUGAAAGGAUUUGAUAAAAAUUUGAUAUUAAUUUCUAUUGUGUUUUGUAUAACUAGUUUUAUUGUUCUUGGAAGUACAGGGCAGUUUCCAAUUUUUUUUAUUACCUUAGAAAUAUACACUGCCACUAUUUAUGAACUUGUCUAUGACAGGUUUUUCAUUUCUAUAAAUGUAUACAAAGUUUUCACUUUUCUUUUUACUCUGACUAAUUCUAGAGAAACUGUGUAUUAAAUUUUGUGAAGAAAAGAAGUAGAGAAAAGAAAUUCAUACUGUUAACUUUGGUCAGCAUUUCAUUAUGCUGGUCAGAUCCCAGUGCUAGGUAUUAUGAAAAAUAGCAAGCAAUACUUUCUUUGAAGUCUAGCAAAUAGAGAAAUAGCUUCCAAGACUUAGAAUGCGCCAGCUGUAAACACAAGUGCCUACCCACAGGCAAUUACUGCACAUUCAGAGUGGCAGCAUAGCUUUCUGUAUUAUUAAAUAACGUUCUGAAAACCUAAUUUGCAGGGCAGUUUUAUGAUGUGAAAGGGAGAGGAAGAAGGUUAGGAUAAAACCUAUCUUCACUCAAGCCACUGGUGGCUGUGGUUUUUAAUACCCAUAAAUAUCUUGACAAGAGCCUUUCGCCUCCGCACACGCCCAUGGUUAAUGUGCACAAUGUCCCCUUGGUCACGGGGCUGAACUCCAGCCCAUUAGGGCACUAAUUUGAUCUCUGGCACACCCUUAUUAUAGCCACCACAAUGAGGAUGCCUCUGGCAGGAAGCUUCUACACCUUAUUUCCCAUCUGAUAUGAAGCUCAAGAAAAAUCCCUUAAAAACAUUCAUUAAUUUAUUGCAUGUAAACCAGUUUGUAGUACAGAUAUAAGGCCCAAAUUAGUGCUAAUUUCACACUGUUUGUUACUGCUGAGAAAGCCAUGUUAACUCUGGUGAUGUGUCAGGGAAUAGAAUAAAUAUAUCUGUUUUUAUCUAUUGAAGAUCACCUAAGUGUUCUUUUCACUUAUCAUAGAUAUGCGUAGCACAAUCAUGGGCACAAUAAUAGUUCAGAAGAAAGGAAAGAACACCCAGAAAUUGAAAGUUGAUGAAAAUGAAAUAGAUAAAUUAAAUUUAGAGAGGGGAAAAAACAGUGGAAAAGCCUGCUGACUCCUUCACAGUAAAAUCCAAAUAAUUACAUUCAAGAAAUAUUAUUUCUCUAAGAUGACUGUGGAGGAGCCAACAGAAAACACAUCCCAAGGAAAACUGGAUGCAAGAUGUGGGAAUAAAGACCGCAGGAUUUUUUCCAUCACAACUUCUUGCUCUGUCAAAAGUUGCUUUAUUCAUAUUAUUAAGUGUUAUGAUCUGCCAAGCUACAGGAGGUCUGGGGAGCUGGCGAGGGCUGGGAAAUGUACCUCCUACUAGUCACUGUUUCCUUUUACAGACUUUCAGGUCUAUGGAAAGAGAAGCUUUAGGAGUACUCUUGGAAAGAACCUAAAAGAGGUGUGAAGAGAUAUUCUAUUAGAUGUAAUUAAGAACUGAGUGGGGGAAAAGGUAGUUCAUAAGAGGGAAAAAAGAAAAAAACAUAUGAAAAAGGAUUGAAGGAAGCAAAAAAAAAUGUUACUUACUAUGCUUCUUCAAAUAUAGUGUAUGUAGAUGACCAGUCCUAGCAAAUAUAUGAUAUUGUACCUGCUCAGAAUUCACAUUAGACACUAUUUCAAAAAGAAAAUUUGGUGGAUGUGGCAUCAUGUGGCUGAGAAAGGGAAAAAAAAAUCUCAUCAGGAGACAGAAGAAAGCAAAAAAUUUUUGCGAUGUGUUUGCUACUAUUGCAUUUUAGCUCUCCUUAGAAGGAGGUGCAGGUUGAUGACAACCCAAAUGAACAGCUCUGGCAUAAUGCCACAAUUCAGAGGAAAGCCUGAUAGUUGGAGGCGUGCUAAAAACACUGGGCUUGAUUCCACACUCUGUCAGAACAGUACUUGGAUGGUUGGAGACGUGGGUUUCCCAAGGCUGGUUGUGGAUCCAGGACUCAGUGCUUCAUACAUGUGGCUUUAAUCCACAGCAUUGGCAUCAGAUGCUGCAAUGACCUCAUGGCUCUCAAAUGCCCACCGUAACAGAGCUUCUCCCAUCCCAAAUUGCCCUGGCAACCUCUUCUUCUCAUAACACCAGGGACAAAGAACAGGGUGCCAGCUGAGUACCUCUACACAGGAGAAGCCCCCAGCUGGGGUUAACCUUUGCUAUUCAGUGGUCAGAGUCAAUCAUAUGGUGAAAAAUGUUCACAGCAAAGCAGAGGAUCUUAUCCUUUGUGCUUUAUAAAGGACUCUUGUCCAAUCAUAUAUUUACUUACAUACCUGUUAUAAAUCUUUUUGCAUGUAUAUUCAUGCAUGAGAAAAAUGGCAAGGUUUGUAUUCCACACAAAUAAACAUUAACUGUUUUAGCAUCAUGACCCUCCCCCUACCCCCCACCUAAUUCCCCCUCUACCUUUGAGAAUAAAGUAAUUUUAUGCAUUCUCUCCUAUCCUGGGCAUGAAAAAGUAAAUGCUGUAUUACCCCAACUUAGGUAACCCUUAGGAUAAUUUUUUAAGCAGCAGGAAACUAGGCUAUCUGGCUGGGUAGAUAAUGAUAUCAGCUGCUUCCUUCCAAAACAACAGGUGCUUUGGCAUAAAACUGUAUAUCAUCAUACUGAGAUGAUGACAUCAGUUCAUACUUCAGCUUAAUUAUAAACUACCUCCAUUAAUCCUCAAAUAAUUAAACAUUUUGUGUAUGGUGCAAGGUGAAAUAUAAAAGCAAAAGGUGCCUAGCUGUUCAUCACAGGGUUAAAAUGGCAGUUUCUGAAUCGUUUGUACUUGUGUCUGCCUAUUUUAAUGUAAACUUCAAGCUGAUUUUAAGCACUUGUUUAUAUUUUUAAUGUUCCAGCCAUGAGGUAGGUAAAAAUAAAUACUGCUAAAAUUCAAUGGAAACUUGAUGAAAUAACAAAGAUUUAUUGAUUGGAAUCACAUGGAAUAUAUAUGGGCAUAAAUAUCAUGCAAAAAAAGCAAGGAUGUGAGGGAUCAGGCUUUGCUUGUACAAGAAUAAUUGGGGGAUAAGUCAUGGUUCAUGGCCCAAUAGCAGAAUAAACAUUGCAGCAUUAUGUGUUUGCAGAUUUUAUGCAAGAUCUUAGACUCACAUUCAGAGGCAGCACAUCUAAAUAAAACAAGCUCUGGACAAGCAAGCACCAUUUAUUGAAACAGGUUGAUUGAGCUUCAAAAAAAUAAGUAUUAAUGGAAGCAAUAUUAACAAUUGAAUUUAUUUUUUUAAUAAUUUAGUUCAAACAGCAAUCACUUGAAAAUUCAACAUUCAUUCCUUGCAUCUUCACUGUAUCUGUGUACAUGUUUAUCAUUGUUUCAAAACUCAACAACAAAUUGCUUAAUUUUUUGUUUGAUAUAAAAAUUAGUAGACAGAAUAAAGUGAGAGCUGAAUUUGUAGGCUAAACGAGCAGAGGAGCACAGCAGAUAAAAGAUUAUGUUCUUCUGCCUUUAAAAUAUAGCACUGACCUUCUUUAAAACAGAUGCUAUCUUCAGGAGCCAGAUGUGUCUCCAAGCAAAUUAGUUAUAAGAAAUACAUCCAAGGACAUAGCCAUUUAAGAAUCAAUAAAUUAUGCAUUUGUCAUUUGUUAUUGUUGAGGCUUAUGCUGACAUCUUUGACAUGAACAAAAGAGUCUCUGUCCACAGUAAUGGCAUUAACAAUUUAACAGAGGUGGUUUUAUACCAAAAGAGAAGUGGUUUGAAGAAAUUACUGUUUAUCACCAUGUACAUAUACACACCUUAAUUAUUCAUUGCAUGUCCACUUACCAGCCUACUUCCUGUUAUGUAAGUUGUGCUAGAUUAAAAAGUUAGAGGUCGGGCACGACUGCUACACUGCUGCUAUUUCCACCCAUUUCAACCUGAAACAAAGACAACAAUACUAACAAUUAUUUUCUAUUAAAACAAUCAAAUCAAGAAAGUUUUGUUUAUUGGUGGAACAUUAUGAAAAAUUCCUACCAAGGAGAAUUUUAUUUUUCUAAAAGCAAAAGCCAUGGUGGAAAUUUUUUGUGGGCUUAGUUGAAACAUUUGGAUGACCAUAUGGAACUCUUAGUGGUGCCAUGGGACCAUGCAGCUAUGAAAUCUGAUCACUAUCUCCCUAGUGACAGCUGGAGCCUUUACACCAUCAGAAAAUUUUCAGACUUCUAAUUUGUCAUAACUACCUCCUGUGGAAAGAAAAUAUGUUAUGUAGUUAGAUACAAGAAUCUGAGUCUACAGCACUACACAUAUCAGCUUCUCUUCCUUUUAGCUUUCAAGCCUUAAAUUAAUUCCUUGCAUCUUAAGACUCAUUGAUGCAAGAAAUAAAACAUAAACACAAAGAGAAUUAAAAAAUAUGGGAUCUUGUGAAAUGGGGGUUACCUCUGCUGUAUAGUUAUAAUGGAGAAUGACUUAUUUUCAAAAACCUACUUAUGUUACAAAUGUUGAUAAAUGGAUUUCAAAGUUUAUUUGUAUUGAAGCUUUCUCUUCAGUUUUACUCUGUUUAGCAAAUUAAAGUGCAGCUUUGCAAUAGUUUCCAUUAUUUUUUAGUUUUUAAUGUGCAUUCUUUCAUUGCCACAUCAGAUCUGAAAGGAAACAAAAUUCAGAGUCACUUUUGUUAGAGGAACUCGCAGGAAAAGAGGAUGAGAUCUCCCUGCCCACUACAAUUGCAUACUGGAGAGGAGAAAGCUCUCAGCUGCUCCCAGAAAACAAGUAUCCUUUUGACACUCAGAAAUAUAGGUGUCCACCAGGCAGUCACUUUUGAAAAUAAUGGGAAAUGUGCUUCUGUCUCUCUGUAUAUCUGUCUAUGGGGGCAAAUCCAGCAGAGCUGAGAAUCACGUCCCCAUGUUUGUUUGUUUGUUGUAUAGCCUUGGCUUGGUUUCUGGUCUCUCAGGGCACUUUCAGAAGUUUGUGAGUCAUAGCUCAGUAACUGUGAGCAGGAUAAAAAUCUAAACAUAUGUUAUCAUUUGCUUUUUUAUGGUCAUUCUGGUAUCCUUGCUAGCCAGGCAUCAAAAAUGGGGCAUGGAUACUGCUGCUUCAUACUGUGGCUACCAUUGCUUUGUCUUUGUGAUGGAUGUAGGGAAGAAGUUGAGUGUUGUGUAAUCUUAUUGACAAGAAGAUAAUGGCUGGGUUAGAAUCCUGAUCCUGGUGCUGCUUAUGACUCUUGAACUUUCAGCCUAAGUCAGUAUUUCACAAAGUUAAUGAGCAAGAAUGACAGAAAGCUUCUAAUAAGGGAUCCAACACUAUCUUUCUCCCAAGUCUUAUAAGCAUCAGUUUUUUUAUAUAAUAUCUUUACGACUCUGGAUGGUAUGAAAAAAAAUCUAGGGGUACUGAUCUGAGACAACUGAAGAAAUCCUGAGAUUUUUUUUUUUUUAUGACUAUUGAUUACAUUAGAAAGCAAACCUGCGGUAGAUCCUAAUUAAUUCCAGACUGAUUUUCUGUAAAAGAGAACUGGAAGCAGAGAGGCUGUGCUGUCCAUGUGACAGAAAAAACACUGGAUAAAAGGCACAUACUGUUCCAGUAUGAAUAGUGCAAGACAGUGUUAGGAAGAUAUUUGCUUACAUUACCAGAAAUGAUAAAAGACUUUCCAUUAAAAAACGAUGAGGAAAAACUGUGCAUACCCUAGGAGAAGGGAAAGAAACGGCAGGGAUAGCAUCAUGCUAUGUAGCAACCUGCCACCAGCUUAGAAAUGGACAAUAAUGACAAAUGGACACAGGGGAUAAAACCCCAAACACACUGUGAAGAGUUAUC